rnacentral:lncRNA from 1 species
CAGACACUAUUUUACUUCUUCCAUGUCUUUCAACACUGCAGAGAUAGGAUUAGCAACAGAUUUAGUUACCUUAGGGGGCUUAUACCCUACUUCCACAAAAUCCUUCUUACCCUGUUCACUUCCAACCAAAGCAUAGCCCAUGCUAGCAAAGGUUUUGGAGUCGUAGGUGGCAGAGACUUCAAUAGCAGGAAAACCUGAG